rnacentral:misc_RNA from 1 species
UCCGAGUUGACCCCGGCAGUCUCCUAUGAGUCCCCACCAUUACGUGCUGGCAACAUAGAACGAGGGUUGCGCUCGUUGUGGGACUUAACCCAACAUCUCACGACACGAGCUGACGACAGCCAUGCACCACCUGUGCACAGGCCCCGAAGGGCUGCCGGGUUUCCCCGACAUUCCUGUGCAUGUCAAGCCCAGGUAAGGUUCUUCGCGUUGCGUCGAAUUAAGCAACAUGCUCCGCCGCUUGUGCGGGCCCCCGUCAAUUUCUUUGAGUUUUAACCUUGCGGCCGUACUCCCCAGGCGGAUGACUUAACGCGUUAGCUGCGCCACCGAAACGCUAAGCGCCCCGACAGCUAGUCAUCAUCGUUUACGGCGUGGACUAC